GAUGCUUGCUGCCUUCUUUGGGGUCAGUCAUGCCUUCUCCAUCAACCUGAUAUGAAUCUGUUUCAUCCAAAGAGUGAUCUCUGAAGGAGGAUUUCAACCAACACAACUGCAAACCUUAAAGCAGCUAAGUUGAAGUGUUGGCACUUGAAUUGUCCUGCAUCUAAAGGGAGAGGAGCAUCAAAGGUCAUGUCUCAGUGGAUUUGAGAGAGUGUCUAUGCCAGCACAGGAGGCCUACAAAAAGAAUAUGGAUCAGAUUUGGAAAGGAGAAGGCAAUGGAAUCCAAGUGCUCCAAGCUCUGAACAGUGUUUCCAGAUGCAGCUGGGAGAGAUGUAUUCACUUCAACUUCUUUUGACUCCACAAAAAAGGCUUCAAGGAACAACAUAUGAGCUUGGCUUUCUCUGUUUCACCUACUGGGAAUGAAAGAACUGACAUUAUGUUUGGUUUUUCUAAAUGCAGAAAGCAGUUCCCAAGAGUAAUUUUUCCUUCUCAGAGGCAGCUCUGCCUCCUCUGUUCCCUUCCAUAACCUGUACUAGGAUACUUCUGUGCCCUAUGCAAAAGGAUUCCUUUAGCUUUGAGAGUUAAAAGUAAAACUGAAUUCUGUAUCAUGAUAUCAGGCUACAGUUAAUGUUUUUGGUUUGCUCAUAUUUGGUUACCUUUGUGUUUCAUCAUUGUGGAGCUUAUAAAUGAACAGAAAUCUUCAUUAGAAAAUCAAAGUGACCUACAGGAUAUUUUUAAGUUAUUAAUUUUUAGCACUUAAAAGAUGAUGAUAUAGAGCGGAUUACUUUGGGGAAUUUGUUAUAUAGUGAAAUUCUGGAGUGUGACCAUGCAGGUUAACUAAUGUCCUUCCAGUAAGAGCCUAUCUCAAAUCAUAGGGAAAGAUACAGAACACAUUGCUGCUUCUCCUCUUCCUUUGCCUAUCACCUUUAUCUUCAUUAAAACAUGGAUUAAAAUUCUUAUCCUCGUUCUUUAUCUCCAUUAGACUGCUGUCACUUGAAGAAAAUAUUUUUCCCCUAGCUGGUUUCUAGGGAUGUUAUUGUGCUUUUCUGGUGUAGAGGAGUAUACAAAACUUACAGCUUUCAGCUUUUCAUCUAGAUAGUUGUUUGAAAAAUACAGUGAUACUUUAUUCAGAGAAACAGAAUUAUUUUCUUUUUUACUUCUACACUAUAGCAGUAUUUUUUUC